UGUGGUGUGGUUGCGCGAAUAGAGAGAGAGAGUCAGGAAAAAAUAGUGACUCGAAGAGAAGAUUCUGGGAAUAUAAUGGGGUAGAUGGUGUAUAGCAGGUGCAGUAGAAGAAGAAGUUCAGUUGCGCGGCUGAAAAUCAGUUGGUUGUGUAUUAUUUAUGUUCUGUUAUUUCUUUGACUUUUCUUUUUGUUAUUAUUUUCCUUCCCAAAUGUUGCUGGAAUAUGUCUCCUCUCUGUUAUGUCUUGUCUUCUUUUUCCCUUUUUUCUUCUUAUUUUAUUUUUUUAAGGAAUUAUAUAUAUAUUUUUAAGAAUUUUGAAAAUUUUCGGAGCUUUUUCUUUGGCAGGCGAUGGAGUCUUGUCCUAAGGUAGAUAUCAAGAAUUUUAAGGAGUUGCUGAAAGAGGAGAAUCUUUAUUUGAUUACUGAGGCAGGAGAGCAAGGGCGUUUGCCUGUGCUAAUUCUGAGUAUGAAAGGAAGCAAAGAAAGAAGGUCUGCAGUGGUUUUCCUGCACAGCACAAACAAGUGCAAAGAGUGGCUGCGGCCCCUGCUUGAGGCCUAUGCCUCGCGAGGAUAUGUAGCCAUUGCAAUUGACUCUCGCUACCAUGGUGAACGUGCCAGCAAUAAAACUACUUAUCGGGAUGCUCUUAUAUCAUCAUGGAAAAAGGGUGAUACAAUGCCAUUCAUAUAUGAUACGGUCUGGGACUUGAUAAAACUGGCAGAUUAUCUUACACAGAGGGAAGAUAUAGACCCUACUAGGAUAGGAAUUACUGGUGAAUCGCUGGGAGGAAUGCAUGCAUGGUUUGCUGCUGCUGUUGACACCAGAUAUUCGGUGGUGGUCCCUAUAAUUGGUGUGCAGGGGUUUCGUUGGGCCAUAGACAAUGAUAAGUGGCAAGGUCGGGUUGACAGUAUAAGGCCUUUAUUUGAAGAAGCACAAAAAGAUUUAGGCAAGAGAGAAAUUGAUAAAGAAGUGGUGGAAAAGGUGUGGGAUAGAAUUGCACCAGGUCUGGCCUCUAGCUUUGAUUCACCAUACACAAUUCCCGCCAUUGCACCACGUCCGCUGCUAAUUCUCAACGGUGCAGAUGAUCCCCGUUGCCCACUUGAAGGUUUACAAAUUCCCAAAUCGAGAGCAACCAAGGCUUAUGGAGAAGCCCAUUGUCUGGAUAAAUUUAAGCUAAUUGCGCAACCUGGAAUUGGGCAUCAAAUGACACCAUUAAUGGUGAAAGAAGCAAGUGAUUGGUUCGACAAGUUCCUCAAGAAAUAAUGCUGUUCAGUUAAAUGGUCUGUUUUAUGUUAUUUUCUUGUGCAAUAUCUUAUAAUAAAACCUAGAAGGAGCUCUUGCUUUAACCUGUCCUAAAGUGUAGUGUUUUCAAUUCCUAUGUUCAAGUUGGCGGUAUUUGUCAUUUGCGAAUUUAAGAUAUCUUUGAUUAGCAUAUAUCAGUGCAGAUAUAUAUCAUCAAUAACAAAAUUUCAC
rnacentral:misc_RNA from 1 species